AGGAGUUAUCAAAAAAUGCAUUGAUAGGGCCUAAAGUACGUUUGUACCAGGCAGAUUGAACUCAGACAAUAUUCUACUUGCAUAUGAAAUUCUUCAUACUCUUAAACAAAAGAGAAAUGGGAAAAAAGGUCUUAUGGCAGUCAAGUUGGACAUAAGUAAAGCAUAUGACAGGGUUGAGUGGAAUUUUAUAAAAAAAAUGAUGGCACGAAUGGGGUUUGAUAUGAGAGUGAUCAGAAUUUUGAUGAAAUGUUUGACAACGGUCUCCUACUCAGUAGUUGUAAACGAAUACAUAGGAGAAAGCUUUCAACCAACAAGGGGACUUCGUCAGGUAGAUCCACUUAGCCCGUUUCUUUUUCUCAUUUCUGGGGAAGGGCUGUCAUGUUUAAUGAGAUUAGUAUGCAGGGAAGGACUAGUGAAAAGCGCUAAAGCUAGUAGGAACGGACCACAGGUAUCACAUUUACUGUUUGCUGAUGAUUGUAUCUUAUUUGGUCAAGCAACAAGUAGAGAAGCUAAUUUUUUAAAGGAAAUUUUGGGGGAAUAUAGGAGAUGCUCGGGCCAAUGUGUUAACUUUAAUAAGUCCACUGUCUUUUCUAGCAGUAAUACAAAUGAUGAAGAUAAACGAGAGGUGGUAAACAUUUUGGGGGUGCGUAGUUCAGAAAAUCCGGAGAGGUAUUUGGGGUUACCCAACACAGUUGGAAGAAGGAAAAAAUAAUCUUUUCAGGGCCUAAAAGAUAGAUUUAAGAAACGUAUUGACAAUUGGAGCACCAGGUUUUUGUCUCAGGGCGGGAAAGAAGUGUUUAUUAAAUCAGUCCUUCAAUAUACCAACUUACUUUAUGUCGUGUUUCUUAUUACCCAAGUCUUUAUGUUCAGAAAUGGAAAGCAUUAUAGCUCAAUUUUGGUGGCAAAAGGGGAAUGGAAAACGAGGAAUACAUUAGUGUGCAUGGAAAAAUCUUUGCAUUUUAAAAGAAAAUGGGGGUCUUGGUUUUCGAAACACGAGUCAGUUCAAUAUCGCAUUAUUAGCCAAAUGGGGGUGGCGCCUUAUUAAUUACCUGAAUUCAUUAGUGGCUAGAGUGUUCAAGGCUAAAUACUAUCCAAAUACAGACUUUAACAGCACUCAGUUAGGGAAUAUACCUUUUCUUACCUGGAAGAGUGUGUAGGCUGCUAAGGGAUUGUUAAAUAAUGGACUGUGUUGGAGGGUUGGAAAGGGUGACGGGAUCUCGAUCUGGGAGGAACGUUGGCUACCAGGCAAGGAACCUGAAGAGUGGAAUAGUAGAAACAGAAGUGAAGAGUACAAGUUAGUUUCAGAAUUAAUUGAUCCAAAUACCAGAAUGUGGAAGACAGAUAUUAUCAUGCAAAUCAUGCAAAUUCCUCUUGCGAAAAUUCCUCAUAACGACAUUCAAAUGUGGAAGGGAGAAUCGACCGGAGAAUUCACUGUCAGAAGCGCCUACAAACUAUUACAAGAAGCUAGCAUGGAUCCUAGUUAUUAUUAUUUACAGGCCGACUCAAAGAAUUUGUACAAAAAACUUUGGAAUCUAAGACUACCCUAAAAAAUACUGAUUGCAAUUUAGAGAAUUACAUGGAACUAUAUCCCGAAUUUUGUAAAUCUAAAACAUAAGCGAGUGAUCAAUAGUGCUUUAUUCCCUCGUUGCGGGAAUGGAGAAGAAGACAGUGGGCAUGUCUUUUUGAAUUGCCCUGUUACAGUAGUGAUUUGGAGGAAGUUAGAGGUCUCAUGGGUAGACAGAAUAGUUCAAAAUAUCUGGGAAUGGAUCACCUGGAUCUUUCAAAAUACUGCUAUUCAACAGUGUCGCUUGCUCUGCUGUGGCUUGUGGAUUAUAUGGAGUUCACGAAAUAAGCUUGUACACGAAAGGAAGUUAGAGUCAGAAGAUGAGAUUUUACAGAAUAUUCGAAGAUAUAUGGCUGAGAUUGAAGGAUUAGAAGAAAAGAAACUCACCUCUCCAACGGGGUAUAGAAGCAACACUAUAGAUGUAAACACCAGGGCAACGAUUCAGUUUGACGCUGCACUCGAUAACAGAAACCACAGAUCAGCAUCGGGAUUAGUGGUUUGGCGUCAGACGGGGGAACUCCUUGCAUUUAAGUCAAUGAUCAACUGGAAGGUUUCAUCUCCGUUUGUUGCAGAGGCGUAUGCAGGCUUACAGGCUGUUCAAUUAGGGAUCUCGCUAAAACUUCCCUCAGUAACGGUUAUGGGAUAUUCUCAAACAGUUAUCAAAAAAUGCCAGUCAAAGAACUCGGAUAAAUCAAUCAUCGGUACAAUAAUCAGAGACAUUUAUAGCAGUAUGAACAGGUUUCAAGAAAUAAAAUUCCAGUUUAUUAAAAGAACAGAGAAUGCCUAUGCUCACAACCUGGCAAAGGAGUCUUUGAGAAAGAAUGAGGAAACGUACCAGAGAAGGCCGGAUCUGACUCAACACCAUUCCCAACCGGAGAGAAAAUAGAGGAACAACCCAGAUUGAGAUUUGUUUGGGGUUAAUGAAAUAAAACAGAUAGCUGAAAAUGGUAUAUGGAUAAACUAUUGACAAGCAUAGAGAAGACAGUGAUGUGGAAGGAAAUGGAGUACAGUUGUGUCUUGGGAAUCGGCUAGUUUAAUUUCAACAAGCUUCCUUUUUAUUUGUUUUUCAAUUAAUAGGCAGGUUUUAUUAGAAUUAUUUUAAUUAUUUUUGAAACUAAUGGCUAAAGAAAUAGGCCAAUUAUGGGAUAGGAAGUCUAGAGUGUCAUAGGCCUGAACCAUUAUUAUUAGGUUUUGUAUUUGACUUCUUUAUUUAUUUAAGUCUAG
rnacentral:lncRNA from 1 species